AUUGAACGCUGGCGGCAGGCCUAACACAUGCAAGUCGAGCGAGCGGCGGACGGGUGAGUAAUGUCUGGGAAACUGCCUGAUGUAGGGGGAUAACUACUGGAAACGGUAGCUAAUACCGCAUACCAUCAGAUGUGCCCAGAUGGGAUUAGCUAGUAGGUGGGGUAACGGCUCACCUAGGCGACGAUCCCUAGCUGGUCUGAGAGGAUGACCAGCAAGACUGGAACUGAGAACCGGGCCAGAUUCCUCCGGGAGGCAGAAGUGGGGAAGAUUGGACAAUGGGCGCAAUCCGGAUGAAGCCAGGCCGCGUGUGUGAAGAAGGCUUUCGGGUUGUAAAGCACUUUCAGCGGGGAGGCGUUACCCGAAGAAGAAGCACCGGCUAACUCCGUGCCAGCAGCCGCGGUAAUAC
rnacentral:rRNA from 1 species